GAAAUAUCAACCUCUCAUGAAUGAGGCAGCAAAAACAAUGCUGAGGCAGAUAUUGAAAAUAGAUACUUCACGUUUGGAACCAUUGAACCAUAAUACCGACAGUUUCCUAAUUAGUGAUGGUUUGCAAUCAUCGUGUGCAGCAGUGGACAAUGGGAACUCUUCCAGUUCUGUAUCAGGCGUGACUCUUCAAGAGGUACCUCCAACCUCAUCUUUUAAUUCAGCUGCUUCUGGUGUUGCUCCUCAUGGCCCCUCAACAGCCAAAUCAG
rnacentral:misc_RNA from 1 species